ACGCUAGCGGCGUGCUCAUACAUGUCAGUCGAGCGAACUUUUGGGAGCUUGCUCCCAAAAGUUAGCGGCGGACGGGUGAGUAACACGUGGGCAACCUGCCUAUAAGACUGGGAUAACUUCGGGAAACCGGAGCUAAUACCGGAUCAUUCUUUUCUACACAUGUAGGAAAGCUAAAAGACGGUUUACGCUGUCACUUAUAGAUGGGCCCGCGGCGCAUUAGCUAGUUGGUGAGGUAACGGCUCACCAAGGCCACGAUGCGUAGCCGACCUGAGAGGGUGAUCGGCCACACUGGGACUGAGACACGGCCCAGACUCCUACGGGAGGCAGCAGUAGGGAAUCUUCCGCAAUGGACGAAAGUCUGACGGAGCAACGCCGCGUGAGUGAUGAAGGUUUUCGGAUCGUAAAACUCUGUUGUUAGGGAAGAACAAGUACGAGAGUAACUGCUCGUACCUUGACGGUACCUAACCAGAAAGCCACGGCUAACUACGUGCCAGCAGCCGCGGUAAUACGUAGGUGGCAAGCGUUGU
rnacentral:rRNA from 1 species